UACGGAGGGGGCUAGCGUUGUUCGGAAUUACUGGGCGUAAAGCGCACGUGGGCGGCUUUGCAAGUUAGAGGUGAAAGCCCGGGGCUCAACUCCGGAAUUGCCUUUAAAACUGCAUCGCUAGAAUUGUGGAGAGGUAAGUGGAAUUCCGAGUGUAGAGGUGAAAUUCGUAGAUAUUCGGAAGAACACCAGUGGCGAAGGCGACUUACUGGACACAUAUUGACGCUGAGGUGCGAAAGCGUGGGGAGCAAACAGG
rnacentral:rRNA from 1 species